ACCGAGGGCUGAUAAUACAUGCGAUAUGAAAAAUGACAUGUUAUGAUCUUUUUAUCAUAUGCUUCAACAGUACAGAAAAAUAACAGAUUCAUAUAUUGAUCCUUUUACGUGGUUCCUGAUGUUUAAAGAGUAAAAACAUUCACGGCCGUCGGACCCAAAAUUUGAUACAUUCAAUAUGAAAUCUUUCUAUCAUAUGCCUCAACAGAGAGAGAACAAAAACAUUUUAAUAUGGACG
rnacentral:lncRNA from 1 species